AAUAGAUCAUACUCUAAUCGUUUCAAUCUUUAUAGAAUCCGAUUAUUUUUAAAGCUCUACAGUCAAGAUUUUACGCAUCAACUGGUUGGAAAGUAACGAAGGGUAAAGAUGUUGCGAGGUAUUCAGCUGCUGCUGCAAUCGGUUUUCUUGGAUUAACUUUCGCUUCUGUCCCUUUAUAUCGAAUAUAUUGUCAAACUACUGGUCAGGCUGGUCAACAAGGGUUCGUUGGAUCGACUGUUGAUCAAGUUGAGAAGAUGAAGAUUGACAAAAGUCGUAGACUGAGGGUAUCAUUUGUUGCUGAUGCCACCAAUGAUCUUCAAUGGGAAUUUAAACCGAUUCAACAGUCAAUUGAGGUCAGUCCUGGGGAGACAACAUUGGCAUUUUUUACAGC